rnacentral:tRNA from 1 species
GCAACGAUGUACGAGUGGUUAAGGAGAUUGACUCGAAAACAAUUGGGCUCUGCCCAAUUGGUUCGAAUCCUGCUCGAUGCG